UGGAUCUCCUGUGACCUAUAUUCUGUUUUCUGACUACGUAUGCCUAUAAAUACAACUUAAUUCAUUCAUUGAUCGUUAAAUACUAUCUAAAUUGUAAUGUCUGUUUCUUAGCCUAUACAAAUACAAGGCCUUUACAUUUAUUGCACAGAGUUUUCUCUUUAAAUAUAUAAAAACAUUCGAUUUAAUUAAUAAAACAUUAUAACGAAUCUAUUGGAUGGAGUUAAAUCGUUUCGCGUUCUUAAAUAUUUCUUAAUGCAAUUCUAGUUUGGACAUGGUUUGGUGUGAUGCACAAAUUACGAAUUGAAAGUACUUCCUCCACAGAGUCUCUGUGACAUAAAUCAUGGACUUCUUGUUUCUUUGGCACAAUUUAACGUUACCCCACAGGCUUGGAUUUGAAGAUGAAUUGAGUUUGGAGGUAGCACCUUGCAUUGGUUUCCUCAUCCUGGUAUUACCGUACAUCUUGAUCCUCUGGAAAAAGGCACAUCAUAGUCAGCCAUUGUGCAGGACAUUUAUUUGUAAA